CCCAGAACAGUUUGUUUGCUCAGAACUUUUUUUCAGUGGUUUGGCAGAGCAACUAAUGGCAGCAGGACAGUGAAAUCAUUCAGCGGAUCAAUGGACUAAAUCGCAUGGAGACCGGGAAAAGAUCAAAGAGGCUGCAGGAUGCUGUCAAGUGAGCUGGAACAAAGGGCGUGUCUUCCCGGUAAAGUAAAGCACCUCGCAGCCACUAUAUGGUAAGGCAUGAUUUAUGAUCUAAACUAAACUUCGACAAGCACCAAGGCGAGGAAGCAGUCGAUCAGGUCAACGUUGGCCCAAGAACACAAUGGCAGGGACUAGGAUGGCGGAAGCGGGGAUCGAACCUGGAACCCUCAAGUUACUGGCACGGCCACUUUAACAAACGGGCUAUA